GCCUACGGGGGGCAGCAGUGGGGAAUAUUGCGCAAUGGGCGAAAGCCUGACGCAGCGACGCCGCGUGAGGGAUGAAGGUCUUCGGAUCGUAAACCUCUGUCAGCAGGGAAGAACGGUCACUGUGCUAAUCAGCAGUGAAUUGACGGUACCUGCAAAGGAAGCACCGGCUAACUCCGUGCCAGCAGCCGCGGUAAUACGGAGGGUGCGAGCGUUAAUCGGAAUUACUGGGCGUAAAGCGCUCGCAGGCGGUGUGUCAAGUCAAGGGUGAAAUCCCCGCGCUCAACGUGGGAACUGCCUUAGAAACU
rnacentral:rRNA from 1 species